AAGUAAGAUCCCUGAGAGAUGAUCAGGUAGAUAGGUCAGAAGUGGAAGGCCAGUGAUGGUUGGAGCGGACUGAUACUAAUCGAUCGAGGACUUAACCAAAA
rnacentral:rRNA from 1 species